ensembl:lncRNA
GUUCGAAACAGGUCGCUUUUAACUCACUUUAUUUGUUAAAGUAUUUCGGUAUGGUAACUAAGAAGCAAAAGGGAAGGAAUAGGCUACUUGCACAAGCACUUCCUGAUUCGCCGUAAUACAGCUCAUCAGCUUCCGGUUCCAAGAUGGCAACGUUCUACACCCGGUGUUUACAGGAGCUGCCGACAAUAAAUAUCACAGAUGUGCAUCGUUUAUGUCGGGAAACAAAAACUCCGACAAGCAGAUUGGAGAAGGGGUUUAGGCUGUAUGCUUCGACCUACAUUCACAGCUACGAAGAUCAAGCUUUGUGAUUCAGCAGCCAAGGGAUGAAAAAAGAAAGAGUUAAUCUAUGGGCUGGAGCAGCUGUCUCUGAGAGGAAAAGAAAAAAAGUAUAGCUCAAAAACAACAAAUACAAAUAAAAUGGCAUCACGUAUAAUUACAUCUGUAACUACUUAUAAAGUACUGUUGAUGCACGUGCAGGUGCGACCACUUCUUUUUUCUGGACAGCUGAUUUGGCUCUGGAAACACGGACCAUCUUGUAGAGAAGGCUCAAUCAAAGACCAAAAAGCUAUCAGAUGGUUGUAGCUGGCAAAUCUAUUCACAAAAGACAUUGCAUAAAAAUUUUCAAUUAGAAGUGUACAUCAAAAGUAUACAUUGUUACCAAAAUAAUGUCAACAGUAACUACUAAGAUUAAGAUUUUAUUGUGUGUGUAUAUAUAUAUAUAUAUAUAUAUAUAUAUAUAUAUAUAUAUAUAUAUAUAUAUAUUUUAUGUAGUACGGUGACCUGUAUUUCUUCCAUAUAUCUGUUUCAGCUCCUAUUUUCAUCUCAUAGAAUAAUAACAUGACUUUUUUCAACCAUUUAAAAAUAAACUUUUGUAGACUUGAACUGGAAACACGUCUCUGUAAGUCUUUACACAAAUCUGUAUUAUAAAUGUUGUUUGUUUUUGUACUAUUGGUGUGGUCACAUAUAUAAAUUCUGAUAAGACAUGGACAUCCCCAACUCCAAUUACACCAUCUCUCAACAUGCCACUACUUGUGUCCUAUUAAUCAUUCACAGACCUAUUAAGAAAUAAUUUGGUACAGUACUAUAAAUUAAUCUGUAACGUAAAGCUAUUUUCUAACCAACAAUGUCCCUGACUGACACAUAUCCCGUCACGUAGGGACUAGGCUAAUAACAGACUAAUACAAAAAAUGUGACUGUGAAAAAGUGACUUCCCUUGCGUAAAUUCGGAUGUCUGCGUCGGAGCCAGCAAACCGCUGCAGUCCAAACUCUCGCUGGAGACGUAACUCCUGUAGCUCCUUUCUCAGCUCCUGUACUUCAUUUGAGACGCUUUCAGCAGCGGAUGCGGACAUAUCCAUGGCAGUCGGUUCAAAGAGAGCAGUAGUCUUGAUCGUUGAAUAGGAGAUCAACUUCAUCUUCAGGAGGGGCAGUUUCGACGAACCGAUCAACUCUCUCCCACACGCCGCGCCUUGGGGUUUCGACUGUAUACUGGUUCCACUCAAAAAGGGUCGCUACGGCACCUUUUGCAAGUCUCCUUCGACCCUGAGGAGUAGUUGGCUCAAUCAACUUGUCGGGACUAAAGUGUCUGCUACAGACCUUGGAGUGAGUGGUGAUAACAUAUGCAUCCCGGCGUAUGUUCACAAUCCAUCGACUCCUCACGUCAGUUUGGCUCGGAAAGCCAUGAAAACUUAAUACCCCGUUGAAUUUUGCUGACGCUGUACAGUGGGGGACACAGCAGUGCUCUGCGUAGGUUGUCUCCUGCCUCUGAAAAGGUCCAUUUUUUAGAUGUUUACAGUAUU